CGGAGGUGCAAGCGUUAAUCGGAAUUACUGGGCGUAAAGCGCACGCAGGCGGUCAGAUAAGUCAGAUGUGAAAGCCCCGGGCUCAACCUGGGAACUGCAUUUGAAACUGUCUGACUAGAGUCUUGUAGAGGGGUAGAAUUCCAGGUGUAGCGGUGAAAUGCGUAGAGAUCUGGAGGAAUACCGGUGCGAAGCGGCCCCUGGACAAAGACUGACGCUCAGGUGCGAAAGCGUGGGAGCAAACAGGAUU
rnacentral:rRNA from 1 species